UACCAAGACUAUGACGCUUAACUGGUUUGAGAGGAUGAUCAGUCACACUGGAACUGAGACACGGUCCAGACUCCUACGGGAGGCAGCAGUGGGGAAUAUUGCACAAUGGACGAAAGUCUGAUGCAGCAACGCCGCGUGGAGGAUGACACAUUUCGGUGCGUAAACUCCUUUUAUAUGAGAAGAUAAUGACGGUAUCAUAUGAAUAAGCACCGGCUAACUCCGUGCCAGCAGCCGCGGUAAUACGGGGGGUGCAAGCGUUACUCGGAAUCACUGGGCGUAAAGAGCAUGUAGGCGGAUUGAUAAGUUUGAAGUGAAAUCCUAUAGCUUAACUAUAGAACUGCUUUGAAAACUGUUAAUCUAGAAUGUGGGAGAGGUAGAUGGAAUUUCUGGUGUAGGGGUAAAAUCCGUAGAGAUCAGAAGGAAUACCGAUUGCGAAGGCGAUCUACUGGAACACUAUUGACGCUGAGAUGCGAAAGCGUGGGGAGCAAACGGGAUUAGAUACCCCGGUAGUCCACGCCCUAAACGAUGCACACUAGUUGUUGUGAGGCUAGACCUUGCAGUAAUGCAGUUAACACA
rnacentral:rRNA from 1 species